rnacentral:rRNA from 1 species
AUUGAACGCUGGCGGCAGGCCUAACACAUGCAAGUCGAACGAGUGGCGGACGGGUGAGUAAUGUCUGGGAACCUGCCUGAUGGAGGGGGAUAACUACUGGAAACGGUAGCUAAUACCGCAUACCAUCGGAUGUGCCCAGAUGGGAUUAGCUAGUGGGUGGGGUAAAGGCUCACCUAGCAGACGUGCCCUAGCUGGUCUGAGAGGAUGGCCAGCCACCCUGGAACUGAGACACGGUCCAGACUCCAACGGGAUGCAGCAGUGGGGAAUAUUGCCAAAUGGGCGAAAGCCUGAUGCAGCCAUGCCGCGUGUAUGAAGAAGGCCUUCGGGUUGUAAAGUACUUUUAGCGGGGAGGCGUUACCCGCAGAAGAAGCACCGGCUAACUCCGUGCCAGCAGCCGCGGUAAUUC